GGGGGCUGGGAGGGACUGGGAGGGAAUGGGAGGGAAUGGGAGUCAUACUGGGAUAUACUGGGAGGGACUGGGAGGGACUGGGAGUGAUACUGGGAGGGACUGGGAGCCAUACUGGGAUAUACUGGGAGGGACUGAGAGGGGCUGGGAGGGACUGGGAGUCAUACUGGGGUAUACUGGGAGGGACUGGGAUAUACUGGGAUAUACUGGGAGGGACUGGGAGGGACUGAGAGGGGCUGGGAGGGACUGGGAGUCAUACUGGGGUGGACUGGGAGGGAAUGGGAGUCAUACUGGGAUAUACUGGGAGGGACUGGGAGGGAGUGGGAGUCAUACUGGGAGGGACUGGGAUAUACUGGGAGGGGCUGGGAGGGGACUGGGUUAUACUGGGAGGGACUGGGAGUCAUACUGGGAUAUACUGGGAGGGACUGGGAGGGACUGGGAGUCAUACUGGGAUAUACUGGGAGGGACUGGGAGUGAUACUGGG
ensembl:lncRNA